AGAGUUUGAUCAUGGCUCAGGACGAACGCUGGCGGCGUGCCUAACACAUGCAAGUCGAGCGAUGAAGCCUUUUGGAGCUGAUUAGCGGCGGACGGGUGAGUAACACGUGGGUAACCUGCCUCAAAGAGGGGGAUAGCCUCCCGAAAGGGAGAUUAAUACCGCAUAACAUUAGUUUUUCGCAUGAAGAACUAAUUAAAGGAGUAAUCCGCUUUGAGAUGGACCCGCGGCGCAUUAGCUAGUUGGUGAGGUAAAGGCUCACCAAGGCGACGAUGCGUAGCCGACCUGAGAGGGUGAUCGGCCACAUUGGAACUGAGAUACGGUCCAGACUCCUACGGGAGGCAGCAGUGGGGAAUAUUGCACAAUGGGCGAAAGCCUGAUGCAGCAACGCCGCGUGAGUGAUGAAGGCCUUCGGGUUGUAAAGCUCUGUCUUUGGGGACGAUAAUGACGGUACCCAAGGAGGAAGCCACGGCUAACUACGUGCCAGCAGCCGCGGUAAUACGUAGGUGGCAAGCGUUGUCCGGAUUUACUGGGCGUAAAGGAUGCGUAGGCGGAUAUUUAAGUGAGAUGUGAAAUUCCCGGGCUUAACUUGGGAGCUGCAUUUCAAACUGGAUAUCUAGAGUGUGGGAGAGGAGAAUGGAAUUCCUAGUGUAGCGGUGAAAUGCGUAGAGAUUAGGAAGAACACCAGUGGCGAAGGCGAUUCUCUGGACCAUAACUGACGCUGAGGCAUGAAAGCGUGGGUAGUAAAUAGGAUUAGAUACCCUGGUAGUCCACGCCGUAAACGAUGAGUACUAGGUGUAGGAGGGUCCAACCUUCUGUGCCGCAGUUAACACAAUAAGUACUCCGCCUGGGAAGUACGAUCGCAAGAUUAAAACUCAAAUGAAUUGACGGAAUCGGACGGGAAUC
rnacentral:rRNA from 1 species